GAGGAUGUAGCUCAAAGGGAGAGCGUUAGACUCCAGAUCUAAAGGUUAUUGGUUCGAAUCCAGUCAUCUUCA